rnacentral:tRNA from 1 species
CCUCAGGUGGCGGAAUGGCAGACGCAGUAGACUCAAAAUCUACCGUCAGUGAUGACAUAAGGGUUCAAGUCCCUUUCUGAGGACCA